UACGAAGGGGGCUAGCGUUGCUCGGAAUCACUGGGCGUAAAGGGUGUGUAGGCGGGUCUUUAAGUCAGGGGUGAAAUCCUGGAGCUCAACUCCAGAACUGCCUUUGAUACUGAGGAUCUUGAGUUCGGGAGAGGUGAGUGGAACUGCGAGUGUAGAGGUGAAAUUCGUAGAUAUUCGCAAGAACACCAGUGGCGAAGGCGGCUCACUG
rnacentral:rRNA from 1 species